rfam:Picea glauca, whole genome shotgun sequence.
GUCUCUUUGGAGACAUCUGAUAAAAUUGGAAUAAUACAAAGAAAAUUAGCAUGCAUGGCCCUUGCGCAAGGAUGGCACUCAGGGUGAGGCUUUGUAAUCAGGAUUG